rnacentral:piRNA from 1 species
UAUACAUACUUUGGUUAAAUA